GCAGUAGAGACACAUAUCAUUUUCGGGAUUAUGCUCUUAAAGGCUGAUGUGAGCUUACAUGCCUCUCCUCCUCUAUAGCAGCAAACUUGGAAGUUGCAUAGUGAGACGGCAUCCUCACAAGAUGGCUGAGUCAUGGGUGAAGGGGAGUCUCUGCCAGUCUCCAUCAGUCUCUAUGGGAGCAGUAAGAGCUGAAUAUGAAAAUUAUCUGCCAGACUGACUUUCAACCUGUGAAUGAUGGGCCGCACCAUAUGAUUGAAACAGGCAUGAUGACAGAGUCUUGAAUUUGGUCUGUGGAAGAUCUCCUCCUGUCUGUAAUUACACCAAAAUGAAAUGUCCUCAGUUGAAAAGAACCAAUGAAUUAUAUUUUAAAAUCUACAGAAACA
rnacentral:lncRNA from 1 species